rnacentral:rRNA from 1 species
GUCCACGCCGUAAACGAUGUCAACUAGCCAUUGGAGACCUUAGAGUCUUUAGUGGCGCAGCUAACGCACUAAGUUGACCGCCUGGGGAGUACGGCCGCAAGGUUAAAACUCAAAUGAAUUGACGGGGCCGCACAAGCGGUGGAGCAUGUGGUUUAAUUCGAUGCAACGCGAAGAACCUUACCGCCCCUUCGACAUCCUGGGAACUAGCUAGAGAUAGCUUGGUGCCGAAAGGAACCCAGAGACAGGUGCUGCAUGGCUGUCGU